rnacentral:rRNA from 1 species
AAUCAACGCUGGCGGCGUGCCUCAGACAUGCAAGUCGAACGAUUAAAGCUCUCUUCGGAGAGUGCAUAGAGUGGCGCACGGGUGAGUAACACGUAAGUAAUCUACCCUCGAGUGGGGAAUAACGUCCGAAAACGGGCGCUAAUACCGCAUAAUGCAGCGGCAUCAUAAGAUGACAGUUGUUAAAGAUUUAUCGCUUGAGGAGGAGCUUGCGGCAGAUUAGCUAGUUGGUAAGGUAACGGCUUACCAAGGCUACGAUCUGUAACCGGUCUUAGAGGACGGUCGGUCACACUGACACUGAAUAACGGGUCAGACUCCUACGGGAGGCAGCAGUCGGGAAUUUUGGGCAAUGGGCGAAAGCCUGACCCAGCAACGCCGCGUGAAGGAUGAAGUAUUUCGGUAUGUAAACUUCGAAAGAGUAGGAAGAAUUAAUGACGGUACUAUUUAUAAGGUCCGGCUAACUACGUGCCAGCAGCCGCCGUAAAAC